ACCUGGUUGGCUCAGUUGAUUAAGCAUCUGACUUCGGCUCAGGUCAUGAUAUUAUGGUUUGUGGGUUCCAGCCCCACAUCAGACU
rnacentral:tRNA from 1 species